rnacentral:rRNA from 1 species
UGAAAUAACCAUCGGAGGUCCAGCCUGCCCAGUGACAAAGUUAAACGGCCGCGGUACCCUCACCGUGCGAAGGUAGCGCAAUCACUUGUUCUUUAAAUGAGGACUAGUAUGAAUGGCAUCACGAGGGUUAUACUGUCUCCCUCUUUUAAUCAGUGAAACUGAUCUUCCCGUGAAGAAGCGGGAAUACAUCUAUAAGACGAGAAGACCCCAUGGAGCUUUAAACUCAGUAUCAACUGCCCUCCCAAUAUAUCCACCUAAUUAAGCAGACAUGACUACUAGUUUUCGGUUGGGGUGACCGCGGAGCAAAACAAAACCUCCACGAUGAAAGGAAUUAACCUCCUAAUCAAAGAGCUACAUCUCUAAGAAUCAACAAAUUGACAUUUAUUGAUCCAAUUUUUUGAUCAACGAACCAAGUUACCCUGGGGAUAACAGCGCAAUCCAUUUCAAGAGCCCCUAUCGACAAAUGGGUUUACGACCUCGAUGUUGGAUCAGGGUAUCCCAGUGGUGCAGCCGCUACUAAAGGUUCGUUUGUUCAACGAUUAAAACCCUACGUGAUCUGAGUUCAGACAGGAG